GGAUUGCAAUGCCAUAAAGUGUUCACUUUGUUUAACUCAAUCGACAAAUAUAUCUCUUUCAGAUCACGAAAGCGUAAAUUUAAUCAAAAUGACAGUACAGUAGAGUAAGGGCUUAAAGGAAAGGAAUGAAUAGGAAAGAGUCGACAGAAGCCGGGAUUGAAAGUCAUAGACGAGACAGACAUACAGUGCAUCACUGUUUGUGAGUCCAAUAGGUAAUUUAUUUAGAAAAGUCGUGUUUUUAUUGAAUGCAAUGGCAGACAAGGGAUGGGCGCGCCUUAUAUUUAAAAAACACAUGCAUUUAGUGAAGACUCGUACAUUAAAAACCCAAUUCUCAAUUGAAUCUGAAAAUAGAUGACAGACCAGAGGCUUAUGAACUACAGUUGCAAAACAUUAAGACACAGUUGACUGUAAUA